rnacentral:rRNA from 1 species
UACGGAGGAUCCGAGCGUUAUCCGGAUUUAUUGGGUUUAAAGGGUGCGUAGGUGGAUUGGUAAGUCAGUGGUGAAAGUUUGCAGCUUAACUGUAAAAUUGCCGUUGAAACUGCCGGUCUUGAGUGCAAAUGAGGUAGGCGGAAUGCGUCGUGUAGCGGUGAAAUGCAUAGAUAUUACACAGAACACCGAUUGCGAAGGCAGCUUACUAAUCCAUCAUUGACGCUGAGGCACGAAAGCGUGGGGAUCAAACAGGAUUAGAUA